AGAAAUAAAAAAUAAUAAUGAAAAAUAUUUCGUAACACUGUUUUGCACUUGUUUGCAUACAUUAGCUGCUCAGUGGCAUAUGAUUAUGCGUAUAGUUCUUGUUUAACCAAUGUCUACAUUGUGCCAUGUGUUUUACUAAUGUAAACUGAAAAUAGAAACUAAAGCACAAAAUUGAGUCUCUAGUGAUGCGUACAAAGCAGUCAUUUCUUUGUUGUUUGCGUAUCCCCUCACUUUUUUUUUAUUUUGCCGGGCUCCUCUUUGCUUGGCUUUGCUCAAUUGGAAUUUUUAGCAGUGAUUGCUUUGUUUCAUUGUGUAUUUGCAAAAAUUACAAUGACAAGAAAAGCAUGAUAAAAUAAAUGCGGUAAAAACGCGUGAAAUCCUUACCAAAGAAGCCAAUGUAAGUGAUGCUAUGAAAAAAUGUUGUAAAUAAACAUUGGACGAAAGGGAGAGAAAGAAAGUGCAUCAUUU